rnacentral:rRNA from 1 species
GGGCCCGCACAAGCGGUGGAGUAUGUGGUUUAAUUCGAUGCAACGCGAAGAACCUUACCAGGGUUUGACAUCCUGCGAAUCUCUUGGAAACGAGAGAGUGCCUUCGGGAGCGCAGUGACAGGUGGUGCAUGGCUGUCGUCAGCUCGUGUCGUGAGAUGUUGGGUUAAGUCCCGCAACGAGCGCAACCCACGUCUUUAGUUGCCAGCAUUUAGUUGGGCACUCUAGAGAGACCGCCGGUGAUAAACCGGAGGAAGGUGUGGAUGACGUCAAGUCAUCAUGCCCCUUACAUCCUGGGCUACACACGUACUACAAUGCUACGGACAAAGAGCAGCAAGUUCGCGAGGACAAGCAAAUCUCAAAAACCUAAUCUUAGUUCGGAUUGCAGGCUGCAACUCGCCUGCAUGAAGUUGGAAUCGCUAGUAA